GUGAAACUAACAGCUUCCUGUCUAUAGUUACCUGAAGGCAGAGGACAGGUGAAACUAACAGCUUCCUGUCUAUAGUUACCUGAAGGCAGAGGACAGGUGAAACUAACAGCUUCCUGUCUAUAGUUACCUGAAGGCAGAGGACAGGUGAAACUAACAGCUUCCUGUCUAGUUACCUGAAGGCAGAGGACAGGUGAAACUAACAGCUUCCUGUCUAUAGUUACCUGAAGGCAGAGGACAGGUGAUAACUAACAGCUUCCUGUCUAUUGUUACCUGAAGGCAGAGGACAGGUGAAACUAACAGCUUCCUGUCUAUAGUUACCUGAAGGCAGAGGACAGGUGAUAACUAACAGCUUCCUGUCUAUAGUUACCUGAAGGCAGAGGACAGGUGAAACUAACAGCUUCCUGUCUAUUGUUACCUGAAGGCAGAGGACAGGUGAAACUAACAGCUUCCUGUCUAUAGUUACCUGAAGGCAGAGGACAGGUGAAACUAACAGCUUCCUGUCUAUUGUUACCUGAAGGCAGAGGACAGGUGAAACUAACAGCUUCCUGUCUAGUUACCUGAAGGCAGAGGACAGGUGAAACUAACAGCUUCCUGUCUAUAGUUACCUGAAGGCAGAGGACAGGUGAAACUAACAGCUUCCUGUCUAUAGUUACCUGAAGGCAGAGGACAGGUGAAACUAACAGCUUCCUGUCUAGUUACCUGAAGGCAGAGGACAGGUGAAACUAACAGCUUCCUGUCUAUAGUUACCUGAAGGCAGAGGACAGGUGAAACUAACAGCUUCCUGUCUAGUUACCUGAAGGCAGAGGACAGGUGAUAACUAACAGCUUCCUGUCUAUAGUUACCUGAAGGCAGAGGACAGGUGAUAACUAACAGCUUCCUGUCUAUUGUUACCUGAAGGCAGAGGACAGGUGAAACUAACAGCUUCCUGUCUAGUUACCUGAAGGCAGAGGACAGGUGAAACUAACAGCUUCCUGUCUAUAGUUACCUGAAGGCAGA